GGCGAUCAGAUACCGCCCUAGUUCUGACCGUAAACGAUGCCAACUAGCGAUCCGCCAGUCGACUCAUCGCUCUGGUGGGGAGCUUCCCGGAAACGAAAGUCUUCCGGUUCCGGGGGAAGUAUGGUUGCAAAGCUGAAACUUAAAGGAAUUGACGGAAGGGCACCACCAGGAGUGGAGCCUGCGGCUUAAUUUGACUCAACACGGGGAAACUCACCCGGCCCGGACACCGUAAGGAUUGACAGAUUGAUAGCUUUUUCAUGAUUCGGUGGAUGGUGGUGCAUGGCCGUUCUUAGUUCGUGGAGCGAUUUGUCUGGUUUAUUCCGAUAACGAGCGAGACUCUGGCCUACUAAAUAGUUGACGCAUUGCCACUGUGCGUACAACUUCUUAGAGGGAUUUUCGGUGUUUUCAACCGCACGAAAUUGAGCAAUAACAGGUCUGUGAUGCCCUUAGAUGUCCGGGGCUGCACGCGCGCUACACUGGCAAACGCAACGUGCCUGUCCUGCCCCGAAAGGAGCGGGUAAACCCCUGAAAUUUUGUCGUGAUUGGGAUCGGACAUUGCAACUAUUGUCCGUGAACGAGGAAUUCCUUGUAGGGGCGAGUCAUCAACUCGUCCCGAAUACGUCCCUGCCCUUGUA
rnacentral:rRNA from 1 species